rnacentral:rRNA from 1 species
UACGGAGGAUCCAAGCGUUAUCCGGAUUUAUUGGGCCUAAAGCAUCCGUAGCCGGUUCUACAAGUCUUCCGUUAAAUCCACCUGCUUAACAGAUGGGCUGCGGAGGAUACUAUAGAGCUAGGAGGCGGGAGAGGCAAGCGGUACUUAGUGGGUAGGGGUAAAAUCCGUUGAUCCAUUGAAGACCACCAGUGGCGAAGGCGGCUUGCCAGAACGCACUCGACGGUGAGGGAUGAAAGCUGGGGGAGCAAACCGG